rnacentral:tRNA from 1 species
GGAGCGGUAUCGAAGUGGUCAUAACGGGGCUGACUCGAAAUCAGUUUGCAGGCAACUGCACGUGGGUUCGAAUCCCACCCGCUCCGCCA